UCUAUGAACAAUUUGCAACUCAAGAAAACUGAUACAUUCCAGAACCAAGUAACAUCAACCCAAUGGUCAGUGGGAAAGGAAGGUGAAUUAACCAGUGAACCCUUAGACCUUGGAGGUGAGAAGGAGAAGGCAAUGGAAUCAGCUCGAACUCUUCUAAGCAUCGGAUUUGAAAUCAAGCCUUGUUGACAGAUCCUUCUCCCGACUAUGUCACGAUAAAAAAUUAUCCAUGAACAGGCCUCCCUUGAAAAUUGCAUAGCUGUUUAGAUGUGAAUUAUCAUGUUUGAUGAUUUUUUUCCCCCUUCACUAUUUUUUUUUU
rnacentral:misc_RNA from 1 species